rnacentral:rRNA from 2 species
UACGUAGGGUGCGAGCGUUAAUCGGAAUUACUGGGCGUAAAGCGUGCGCAGGCGGUUGUGUAAGCCAGUCGUGAAAUCCCCGGGCUUAACCUGGGAAUGGCGAUUGGGACUGCACGGCUGGAGUAUGGCAGAGGGGACUGGAAUUCCUGGUGUAGCAGUGAAAUGCGUAGAUAUCAGGAGGAAUACCGAUGGCGAAGGCAGGUCCCUGGGCUGAUACUGACGCUCAUGCACGAAAGCGUGGGGAGCAAACAGG